GACGAACGCUGGCGGCGUGCCUAAUACAUGCAAGUCGAACGCUUCUUUCCUCCCGAGUGCUUGCACUCAAUUGGAAAGAGGCGUGGCGGACGGGUGAGUAACACGUGGGUAACCUACCCAUCAGAGGGGGAUAACACUUGGAAACAGGUGCUAAUACCGCAUAACAGUUUAUGCCGCAUGGCAUAAGAGUGAAAGGCGCUUUCGGGUGUCGUUGAUGGAUGGACCCGCGGUGCAUUAGCUAGUUGGUGAGGUAACGGCUCACCAAGGCCACGAUGCAUAGCCGACCUGGGAGGGUGAUCGGCCACACGAGAACUGAGACACGGCCCAGACUCAUACGGGAGGCAGCAGUAGGGAAUCUUCGGCAAUGGACGAAAGUCUGACCGAGCAACGCCGCGUGAGUGAAGAAGGUUUUCGGAUCGUAAAACUCUGUUGUUAGAGAAGAACAAGGACGUUAGUAACUGAACGUCCCCUGACGGUAUCUAACCAGAAAGCCACGGCUAACUACGUG
rnacentral:rRNA from 1 species